rnacentral:rRNA from 1 species
ACCUGCCCACUGAAAGUUUAAAUGGCCGCAGUAUAUUAACUGUGCAAAGGUAGCAUAAUCAUUAGUCUUUUAAUUGAAGGCUGGUAUGAAUGGUUGGACGAAAUAUUAACUGUUUCAGAUAAAUUUAAUGUAGAAUUUUAUUUUUUAGUUAAAAAGCUAAAAUUUAUUUAAAAGACGAGAAGACCCUAUAAAUCUUGAUAUUUUAUUUUAUUUUAAUUAUAAAGAAUGAUUAUAUUAAAAUAAAGCAAAAUAUUUUAUUGGGGUGAUAUUAAAAUUUAAUAAACUUUUAAUUUGUUAAAUCAUUAAUUUAUGAAUAAUUGAUCCAGUUAUACUGAUUAAAAAUUGAAGUUACUUUAGGGAUAACAGCGUAAUUUUUUUGGAGAGUUCAUAUCGAUAAAAAAGAUUGCGACCUCGAUGUUGGAUUAAGAGAUACUUUUAGGUGUAGCCGCUUAAAUUUUAAGUCUGUUCGACUUUUAAAUUCUU